GACGAACGCUGGCGGCGUGCCUAAUACAUGCAAGUUGAGCGCUGAAGGUUGGUACUUGUACCAACUGGAUGAGCAGCGAACGGGUGAGUAACGCGUGGGGAAUCUGCCUUUGAGCGGGGGACAACAUUUGGAAACGAAUGCUAAUACCGCAUAAAAACUUUAAACACAAGUUUUAAGUUUGAAAGAUGCAAUUGCAUCACUCAAAGAUGAUCCCGCGUUGUAUUAGCUAGUUGGUGAGGUAAAAGCUCACCAAGGCGAUGAUACAUAGCCGACCUGAGAGGGUGAUCGGCCACAUUGGGACUGAGACACGGCCCAAACUCCUACGGGAGGCAGCAGUAGGGAAUCUUCGGCAAUGGACGAAAGUCUGACCGAGCAACGCCGCGUGAGUGAAGAAGGUUUUCGGAUCGUAAAACUCUGUUGGUAGAGAAGAACGUUGGUGAGAGUGGAAAGCUCAUCAAGUGACGGUAACUACCCAGAAAGGGACGGCUAGCUACGUG
rnacentral:rRNA from 1 species